UACAGGGGGUGCAAACGUUGCUCGGAAUCAUUGGGCGUAAAGCGCGCGUAGGCGGCCCGGUAAGUUCGCUCUGAAAGUCCAGGGCUCAACCCUGGAAAGCGGGUGGAUACUGCCGGGCUAGAAUCCGGAAGAGGCGAGUGGAAUUCCUGGUGUAGCGGUGGAAUGCGCAGAUAUCAGGAGGAACACCAAUAGCGAAGGCAGCUCGCUGGGACGGUAUUGACGCUGAGGCGCGAAAGCGUGGGGAGCAAACAGG
rnacentral:rRNA from 1 species